AUUGAACGCUGGCGGCAUGCCUUACACAUGCAAGUCGAACGGUAGAGGGGCAACCCUCGAGAGUGGCGAACGGGUGAGUAAUGCAUCGGAACGUGCCCAGUCGUGGGGGAUAACACUUCGAAAGCUGUGCUAAUACCGCAUACGAACUGUGGAUGAAAGCGGGGGACCGAAAGGCCUCGCGCGAUUGGAGCGGCCGAUGUCAGAUUAGAUAGUGGGUGGGGUAAAGGCUCACCAAGCAAACGAUCUGUAGCUGGUAUGAGAGGACGACCAGCCACACAGGGACUGGGACACGGCCCAGACUACUACGGGGGGCAGCAGUGGGAAAUUUUGCACAAAGCCCGAAAGGGUGAUGCAGCAACGCCGCGUGAGGGAUGAAGGCCUUCGGGUCGUAAACCUCUUUCGACUGGGAAAAAUGGGCGGGUGAAUAACCCGUUCUGAUGGUACCGGUGGAAGAAGCUCCGGCUAACUACGUGCCAGCCGCCGCGGUAAAAC
rnacentral:rRNA from 1 species